rfam:Methylophaga aminisulfidivorans MP 54_1, whole genome shotgun sequence.
UAUUUAAUCGGCCAAACUUGGUGUGAAUCAGGGACGGAAAGCCACAGGCCUUGUUGUUUAACAAGGUGGCUGGGUUGCACAA